rnacentral:rRNA from 1 species
CCCUUAGAUGUUCGGGGCCGCACGCGCGCUACACUGAAGGAAUCAGCACGUCUUUCUCCUUGUCCGAAAGGACUGGGUAACCCGCUGAACCUCCUUCGUGCUAGGGAUUGGGGCUUGUAAUUCUUCCCCAUGAACGAGGAAUUCCCAGUAAGCGCGAGUCAUAAGCUCGCGUUGAUUACGUCCCUGCCCUUUGUACACACCGCCCGUCGCUACUACCGAUUGGAGGGUUUAGUGAGAUCCUCGGAUUGGUCCCGGAGCGGCCUCUGGUCGUGCCGGAGUGCCGAAAAGAAUGUCGAACUUGAUCAUCUAGAGGAAGUAAAAGUCGUAACA